AUGACAAUGCUGCAAAUUCGUUUACUUCUUUUUGUUAGCUCAAAUAGAAGAGCAGGCCAUUUAGAUAUUUAGUAAGCAACUUAAUUAUAAAACAGGUUGAUUACUGGAACAGGAGAAAUCUGUAGAUAGGUAUGUGAAAUAUUCUGUAGUUGGAUCAAUGGAACGUUAACUCCUGACCUAAGCCUCAGGACUCUUCUUAGAGUUCCCAUCAAGAUCCCAGUCCCUCACAAGAUGCGUCCCUUGACCUUGGACUUCCCAGCCUCCAAACUAAGUAUACAAAGCAACCUAACACUUCUUGUGACUCAAGUGUUGUCAUCAAACAACAUCAAAAUGACUUUACAGUCAUGUUUCAAACUUAAGUGGUGUUUUGACUUGUAAUUCUAAGUUGAAUUCAUUGACUUAAAAUCAUGAAGAAACAUCAAGUAUGCAACAAAAGCUAAUUUCUGAAGCCAUUCGGUGUUCAAUAAUGGUUGAGGGAGGUUCGUCUCAUUCAGAAAUUUUUAAUCUUGGCCCUGCCCUCAGAAUGUCUCAAUAAAACAUUAUCACUGCUAAGCCAUCAAACUACAGUGUGGUACA